rnacentral:rRNA from 1 species
UACGUAGGGGGCAAGCGUUGUCCGGAAUCAUUGGGCGUAAAGCGCGUGUAGGCGGUCCGGUAAGUCCGCUGUGAAAGUCGGGGGCUUAACCCUCGGAUGCCGGUGGAUACUGUCGGGCUUGAGUACGGAAGAGGCGAGUGGAAUUCCUGGUGUAGCGGUGAAAUGCGCAGAUAUCAGGAGGAACACCAAUGGCGAAGGCAGCUCGCUGGGACGAUACUGACGCUAAGGCGCGAAAGCGUGGGGAGCGAACAGGA